rnacentral:rRNA from 1 species
GCCAGGGAGCCUAUCUCUUUGAGUCUCGUUUCUACCUCAUCUCAACAGCUUGCUGUUGGAAAAUGAGAGUCUUGCUUGAAAGAGUAAGUCUCUUUAAAAAGAGUGAGUCUAAGCUCCUAGUAUUAAGUCAAUUAAAUUUGGCUGCCUGUUCUUCAGGAUUAAUAUUACUAGUGAUGUGGAUAAUUAAUUUUUUCUUACGUCACUUCUGAUAAUAAUCUAAAUUACAGACUAAAAUAAUAGGUAAAAUGACUUAUGGAAAUUAAAAUUCUAUUUUUGAAUUAGAGCUCAAAUGAAGUAAGAUUACCCGCUGAACUUAAGCAUAUUAUUAAGCGGAGGAAAAGAAACUAACAAGGAUGCCCUCAGUAACGGCGAGUGAAGCGGGCAAAGCUCAACCUGAAAAUCGAUUUCCCAAGCGGGACUUCGAAUUGUGGGCUACAGACGCGUGAUCAGCGUGUUACCCUGGUAUAAGUGAGUCUUAUUGGAAUACUACAUCAUAGAGGGUGAAAAUCCCGUCUGUGACCAGGAGAUUAGCCGCGUACGAUCCGUGUU